UACGGAGGGGGCUAGCGUUGUUCGGAAUUACUGGGCGUAAAGCGCGCGUAGGCGGCCCUGCAAGUCGGGGGUGAAAGCCCGAGGCUCAACCUCGGAACUGCCUUCGAUACUGCGGGUCUCGAGUCCGGGAGAGGUGAGUGGAAUUCCUAGUGUAGAGGUGAAAUUCGUAGAUAUUAGGAAGAACACCAGUGGCGAAGGCGAGUCUCUGGACAUUUCCUGACGCUGAGGCACGAAAGCCAGGGGAGCAAACGGG
rnacentral:rRNA from 1 species